rnacentral:rRNA from 1 species
CGCCUACAUGAAGCUGGAAUCGCUAGUAAUCGCGGAUCAGCAUGCCGCGGUGAAUACGUUCCCGGGCCUUGUACACACCGCCCGUCACACCACGAGAGUUUGUAACACCCGAAGUCGGUGAGGUAACCUUUUGGAGCCAGCCGCCUAAGGUGGGACAGAUGAUUGGGGUGAAGUCGUAACAAGGUAGCCGUAUCGGAAGGUGCGGCUGGAUCACCUCCUUUCUAAGGAA